GGACAUUUGAACUCAACCCCAACUCAACCCCAUAACGUGUUUCUGCAAGACCUGCUAAAAUGUCCUCUAUCCGCAUCGUGUGUUGGGAGAGGCGUGCCAAAGCGUCGGUAUUUGACGACCGAAAUGGUCAAUUAAGGUUUUGGGGCAGCCGAAGUGGAGGCUUGGCACAGAAAACCCUAUGGGGAACAGACUCAUCUCUCCCCCACAAAUCCCAGGCCAGCAGGAACCUGUCAAGGUGUACAUUUUUGAAGAAGGCCCUGUGAUGGCCUGGCGGCCUGUCCAGGGUGUCUCCCCGCCUGCCACCCAAUGACUGCGGAAAUAGGCUCCAGCAGCCCCGCGACCCUGAGAGCAGGAUAAGCGGUUC